UACGUAGGGUCCGAGCGUUGUCCGGAAUUAUUGGGCGUAAAGAGCUCGUAGGCGGUUUGUCGCGUCUGCUGUGAAAUCCCGAGGCUCAACCUCGGGCCUGCAGUCGAUACGGGCAAACUAGAGUACUGCAGGGGAGACUGGAAUUCCUGGUGUAGCGGUGAAAUGCGCAGAUAUCAGGAGGAACACCGGUGGCGAAGGCGGGUCUCUGGGCAGUAACUGACGCUGAGGAGCGAAAGCAUGGGGAGCGAACAGG
rnacentral:rRNA from 1 species